UACGAGGGGUGCAAGCGUUGCUCGGAAUUACUGGGCGUAAAGGGUUUGUAGGUGGCUUGCUCAGUCAGACGUGAAAUCCCUCAGCUUAACUGGGGAACUGCGUCUGAUACUAGCGAGCUUGAGUGCAGGAGAGGAACGCGGAAUUCCAGGUGUAGCGGUGAAAUGCGUAGAUAUCUGGAGGAACACCGGUGGCGAAGGCGGCGUUCUGGACUGCAACUGACACUGAAAAACGAAAGCCAGGGGAGCAAACGGG
rnacentral:rRNA from 1 species